rnacentral:lncRNA from 1 species
GGCCUUUCAUUCAUAAAUCCACAUCAUCAACCAAUCAGACAUCACAUACCACCAUCUCAUUUUUACCAAUCAAUAGUAAAUCAUGCAAAGAGACAACACGUACAUUAAGAAAAAUACGAUUAAAACAUUUAUUUCAAUCAAUAGGCAAUUAAGAGAAACAGUUAGAUAAUCAAUACAGAGAGGGCAAUAAAUCCAUAAUACAAGUGCACAUGGCAGGCCAACAAACAUAUCUUAUCAAUAAGGAAACAGUAUUGACAAAAUAAGUAAUUUUAUACUGAUCGGUUAUC